rnacentral:sRNA from 1 species
UCGGCAAGCACUGCCUCACGGCUCCAUCGUUGACGUAGCGCUGCGACCACCGGCACAGCGCGGGGAACUCCCGCUCGCUCACCAAGCUCACGCCGGUGACCUCCUCGAACACCCCGACCCAGUGAGCCAGCCCACUGGCGGCGAUGUCCACGAGGCCAAUGGCGUCGCCGCCGAAGAACCUCUUGUUGCCGCCGUCGAGCUGCGCCUCCAGCGGCCGCAGAUUCUCCUUCGCUUCCCUCACGAACGCCUCCUUCUUCUCCCCGUCCUCCAUCCAGAACGACAGCCAGAACGGCCUCGAGAACUGCAGCUCGAUCACACACAGCUAAUGAU